rnacentral:rRNA from 1 species
AAGCUCGUAGUUGAAUUUCGGGAUUAGUACGUCGGUCGUGCCUUAGGUACGUACUGGUGUUACUGGUUCCUGCCUUCUGACGAACCAUCAUGUCAUUAAUUUGGUGUGGUGGGGAAUCAGGACUGUUACUUUGAAAAAAUUAGAGUGUUUAAAGCAGGCUCGCGCUUGAAUACAUUAGCAUGGUAUAAUGAAAUAGGACGUUGAUCCUAUUUUGUUGGUUUCUAGGAUUGACGUAAUGAUUAAUAGGGAUAGUUGGG